UUUAAUCAGUCAAUUCUUCGUAUUUAUGAAAAUUCUAAAUAAAUAUUUUUGAACUUUGUAACAAUUUAUUUCCAAGAGGAUCAUUGAAACUUCCUAAUGGUUAAUCAAAGAAUAUCAAGGAAGAAUGAAAUAGUUAUUGAAUAAAGAUAUAAUACUUACAAAAAGUUAUUGCAAUAUGGUUAGUUAAUGAAUGAAGAUAUAAUACAUAAAGUUAUUGCGAUAUGGUUAGUAAUAUUAUUACUUCCUUAUAAGAUUUGUAUUAAGAAUUUUAAUAUAUAUGAUGAUUUAAUCACUCACAUAUGAGUUCAUGAUUAUUUACUACAUGCAUUACCAAUUGAAUUUUUAAACCUAAAUGUUCAAACUAAAUAUGUUUAAGACAUGUAUUUUAUAAUAUUUUUCAUAUUUUAGGUGAGAAGAUAAUCCAUUGAAGUAGUAUCAUCUAAUUUGUACUUUUAACAAGAAAGUAACUGUACAUAUAAUAAAUACUAUUUUUUUAAAUAUA